rnacentral:rRNA from 1 species
CUACGGGGUGCAGCAGUGAGGAAUAUUGCACAAUGGGGGGAACCCUGAUGCAGCAACGCCGCGUGGAGGAUGACGCAUUUCGGUGUGUAAACUCCUUUUAUAUGUCAAGAAAAUGACGGUAGCAUAUGAAUAAGCACCGGCUAACUCCGUGCCAGCAGCCGCGGUAAUACGGAGGGUGCAAGCGUUACUCGGAAUCACUGGGCGUAAAGGACGCGUAGGCGGGUUGGAAAGUCAGGUGUGAAAUCCUACAGCUUAACUGUAGAACUGCACUUGAAACUUCUAAUCUAGAGUAUGGGAGGGGGAGAUGGAAUUAGUGGUGUAGGGGUAAACUCCGUAGAUAUCACUAGGAAUACCUAAAGCGAAGGUGAUCUCCUGGAACAUUACUGACGCUAAGGCGUGAAAGCGUGGGGAGCAAACAGGAUUAGAUACCCCCGUAGUC